CUUCCCCUUCUAACGCCAUCACAGGCUCCUCCUACUUAGCUCUAUCCAGAUGCCAGUAAGAGAUCAAAUCGAUGGCAGUACAAUAUCAGCAAAAUACACACAUCACUUGAAAGCUUCCUUCACUUCAGAAGCAGCUCUUUUUGUUUUUCUGGCGAAGAGAAAAGAGAAGUGAGAUGGAUCAGUGAGACUCGAAGAACACCGGAUCAGAAUUCUUGUUAAACGAAGAGAGAGAGAGAGAGACAAUUCAGCAAUUUCCACUAAGGAAUGAGAUGAAUACAAGAAGAUUCAGAAACAGAAAGAGAAAGAGACUUGGAUCCAGUUGA